CCCUUUAGCUCAGUUGGUUAGAGCAUCUGACUGUUAAUCAGAGGGUCGCUGGUUCAAGUCCAGCAGGGGGA
rnacentral:tRNA from 1 species